UCCGAUCCGGACGCCGCGCGCGCCCUUCGCAGGGCCCACCACUUUCCCCGCGACGCCACCACCAAACCUUCCCCCAACAAAAGCAGAUACAGGAAAAAAGCAAAACAGAUUGGAUCCGCACGCCGGCGCCGAGCAAGACGGCGGCGGCGACCAAAAAAGGGGGAUCGGAAUUACCGAAAAGAAAACGGCAAAUCAGGGACCUGCUGGAAAAAAAAAGCAAAACAGCAACAUCCCAGGAUCUUGAUUGGGUGUUAAGAUUUGUAUGCAUGGAUUUGAACAAGUUACCCCCAGAAUUUGAUUUUGACUUCCUGGAUGUUGAAAGUGCAAAUCCAUCUUAUUGCACUCAGUUAAUCUUAGAUCCUGCUGGAUUGGGUGGAAGUCAGCACCUUGGAAGGCAACGGGCUCAGGGUGAUGUUGGCGUGACACCAGUUGCUUUUGCCAACGUUGACCGUGUUGAUGUUGACAAUCAAGUUGCAGUCCUUGAUAUGGUCAAGCUUGAUGGCAUGCUUACAGCGCGCAUGCUGCUAUAAUUUCAGUGAGUUGUUUGUGAUGACAUACCUAUGCCAAGCUUAAUUUCCUCUUCCAGUCUGUAUCGUUCUCAGCGUAAGUAAACCAUUUAUACGUUAGCAACUUCCGGAUGUUAGGAAUGUCCACCUCUUGAAAAUUAUAUAUUGUACGCCCAUCCCAGUGCUCAGCGUGCAACAGCAUAUGAAAUCCACAAUCAUGGCUGCAACAAAAAUUCAGUGAGCAAAAAAAAAAGAAAAACAUGACUAGACAAAUUAUCGAGAAGUACUUGUUAGAUAUCAAGAAGAAAAUGUGACUAGCUAUACACUGGACAUGCAUGCUGUUAGGAGUAAUCCUGUGCGUGCUGUCCAGGUUCUGAGUGUCUAGGUGCAGAGCCUGUCCAGCUUCAGAGUGUCUACGUGCAGAGCCUAUUUACUUAGCAGAUUUCCAGCAGCUAGUUAGUGAGAAUAAUAAGCCAAUCAAGGUAGUGAUGGCUGUAAUUAUUAGCUUUCAAUUACAGGCCCUAUUGUAGCUCUCGGCUGUGUACGAAUAGAGAAGAAACAGAAAAAGCAGCAAGCGAUUGCGGCACCACAAAAAGACUACUGUGUGCGUGUGUUCUGUGUGUGAUUUCCUGGGCUACCUGUGAGGCUUUAGGCCUUCCACAUGCAGUACUUGUUGGCUAGAGGGCAAAGAUGUCAGCUUGGUGGUGUGACAUCAUCCAAUAUGGUAGGUGCAGUAUGGUAUAUGGAUAUUCCUUAGUACAAAGUUUGACAAUUAUAUGAUCCACCAUGCAACUAAGGUGCGCCAGUUCUCAAUGAUCAAAACAUGAUUCAGUA